GCUCUCCCCGGGCGGGCGGGGCCGCAGCCGCGCACCGUGGGCUCGCGCCCCGCCUUUGUCUCCCGCGCCCGCCGCCGGCUGCCAGAGCCGCUUUGUGCGGCGCGGCCGCGGCUCAGCAUGGACGUGACGGUGUCGCAGCUCGUGGAGCUGUUCCUGCAGAGCCCGCUGGUGACCUGGGUGAAAACUUUUGGCCCGUUUGGAAGCGGCCACCAGGACAACUUGACUCUGUACAUGGAUUUAGUGGACGGCAUCUUUUUGAACCAAAUCAUGUUGCAAAUAGACCCCAGGCCAAACAAUCAGCGUAUCAACAAGCAUGUCAACAAUGACGUGAACCUGCGCAUCCAGAACCUGAGUAUCCUGGUGAGAAACAUCAAGACCUACUACCAGGAAGUUCUCCAGCAGCUGAUCGUAAUGAAUUUGCCCAAUGUUUUGAUGAUUGGCAAAGACCCACUGUCUGGGAAGAGCAUGGAGGAGAUUAAGAAGGUGCUGCUGUUGGUACUGGGCUGUGCUGUUCAGUGUGAGAGAAAAGAGGAGUUCAUUGAGAGAAUCAAACAGCUGGACAUCGAGACCCAAGCUGGCAUUGUGGCUCACAUCCAGGAGGUGACCCACAACCAGGAGAAUGUGUUUGACCUGCAGUGGCUGGAGUUGCCAGAUGUGGCCCCAGAGGAGCUGGAGGCCCUCUCCAGAAACAUGGUGUUCCACCUCCGCAGACUCAUCGACGAACGUGACGAGUGCACUGAGCUGAUCGUGGACCUGACACAAGAGAGGGACUACCUCCAGGCGCAGCACCCCCCCAGCCCCGGCAAGUUCUCUAGCCCAGACUCCACACCAAGCCCCACCAGCAGCCUGUCCAGCGAGGACAAGCAGCACCUGGCCGUGGAGCUGGCUGAUACUAAGGCCAGGCUGCGGCGCGUCAGGCAGGAACUGGAGGAGAAGACGGAGCAGCUUGCAGAUACCAGACACGAGGUAGACCAGCUGGUCCUGGAGCUUCAGAAGGCCAAGCAAGAUAAUAUCCAGCUGGCGGCUGAUGCCCGGUCAGCCCGUGCCUAUCGGGAUGAGCUGGAUUCACUGAGGGAAAAGGCUAACCGUGUGGAAAGACUGGAGAUGGAACUAAUCCGCUGUAAGGAGAAGCUGCACGAUGUGGACUUUUACAAGGCUCGCAUGGAGGAACUGAGAGAAGACAACAUCAUCUUAAUCGAGACCAAGGCCAUGUUGGAGGAGCAACUGACCGCCGCCCGUGCUCGAGGUGAUAAAGUCCACGAGCUGGAGAAGGAGAACUUGCAGCUAAAAUCUAAACUCCAUGACUUGGAACUGGAUCGGGACACAGAUAAGAAACGAAUCGAGGAGCUGCUGGAAGAAAACAUGGUUCUGGAGAUCGCACAGAAGCAGAGUAUGAACGAGUCGGCCCACCUGGGCUGGGAGCUGGAACAGCUGUCCAAGAAUGCAGACUUGUCUGAUGCCUCCAGGAAGUCCUUCGUGUUCGAGCUGAACGAGUGUGCCUCCAGCCGCAUCCUGAAGCUGGAGAAGGAGAACCAGAGCCUCCAGAGCACCAUCCAGGGGCUGCGGGACACGUCGCUGGCACUGGAGGAGAGCAGCCUCAAAUGUGGGGAGCUGGAGAAAGAGAAUCAGCAGCUUGGCAAGAAGAUUGAAAAGUUGCAAACGCAGCUGGAGAGAGAAAAACAGAGCAACCAGGACCUGGAGACUCUCAGUGAGGAGCUGAUCCGAGAGAAGGAGCAGCUGCAGAGUGACAUGGAGGCCCUGAAGGCUGACAAGGCCAGGCAGAUAAAGGACCUGGAGCAGGAGAAGGGCCACCUCCACCAAGCUGUGUGGUCCCUGCGGGAGAGGCCGCCGGUCGACAGCGCGAAGAAUGUGGAGAAGGAGAACAGGGCCCUCCACCAGGCUGUGACUGAGGCCGGCAGCAAAGUCAGCCAGCUGGAGCUGGAGAAGCAGCAGCUGCACAGGGACCUGGAGGAGGCCAAGGAGAAGGGAGAGCGGGCGGAGGUGCUGGAGAAGGAGUUGCACCGUCUGGAGAAGGAGAAUGAGCAGCUGGCCAAGAAGGUGACCUCCCUGAAGACGGUCACCGAGAAGGUCGAGGCCCUGGAGCACGAGAGCCAGGGUCUGGAGCUGGAGAACCGGACGCUGAGGAAGUCCUUGGACACCCUGCAGAACGUGUCCGUGCAGCUCGAGGGCCUAGAGCGGGACAACAAGCAGCUGGAUCAGGAGAACCUGGAGCUGCGGAAGAUGGUGGAGGCCAUGCACUUCACCAGCGCCAAGAUGGCGCAGAUUGAGGCGGAGAACCAGCAGCUGGAUCAGGAGAAGGAGGAGCUGCGCAGGAGCGUGGAGCUACUGAAGGCUUUAAGCAAGAAGUCGGAGCGCCUGGAACUCAGCUACCAGAGCGUGAGUGCCGAGAACCUGCGCCUGCAGCACAGCCUGGAGAGCAGCAGCCACAAGUCCCAGGCCCUCGAGAGGGAGCUGGGCGAGCUGGAGGCCGAGCGCCAGUCUCUGAAGCGAGACCUGGAGGCUCUGCAGCUCACCAACAAGCAGCUCGAGGGGUCCGAGAAGGACAGGAAGGCGCUGGAGCAGGAGGUGGCCCAGCUGGAGAAGGACAAGAAGCUGCUGGAGAAGGAGACCAGACGCCUGUGGCAGCAGGUGGAGCUCAAGGAUGCUGUCCUGGAUGACAGCGCUGCCAAGCUGUCAGCGGCCGAGAGGGAGAGCCGUGCGCUGGACAAAGAGCUGGCCCGCUGCCGGGAUGCAGCCAGCAAGCUGAAGGAGCUGGAGAAGGACAACCGGGACCUUACCAAGCAGGUCACCGUGCACACGAAGACGCUGACCACCCUGAGAGAGGACCUGGUGCUGGAGAAGUUGAAGAGCCAGCAGCUGACCAGUGAGCUGGACAAACUGAGCCAGGAGCUGGAGAAGGUUGGCCUCAGCAAGGAGCUGCUGCUGCAGGAAGAUAACAGUCACGGUGACACAAAAUGCAAGAUUUUGGAAGGCAAAAAUGAAUCAGCGUUGAAGACAACACUGGCCAUGAAAGAAGAAAAGAUAGUGUUUCUGGAGGCCCAGGUGGAAGAGAAGGAAAGCUUGAAUCACCAACUACAGAUUGAACUGCAGAUGGUAAAGGACGAGCGGGAGCAGCUCAGGCAGACCCAGGAGGACAGAACGCAGGCACAGAACAUGCUGAAGCACCCUGCGGGCAAGGUGGUCAGCAGUCACCAAGAGAAAGAGGCCUGGGAGCCCAGCCACAAAGAGGCCACCAUGGAGCUACUCCGUGUGAAGGACCGGGCCAUCGAGCUGGAACGCAGUAACGCAGCUCUUCAGGCCGAGAAGCACCUGCUGAAGGAGCAGCUACAGCACCUGGAGACUCAGAAUUUGGCCUUCAGCAGCCAGAUCCUGACCCUACAGAAGCAGAGCGCCUUCCUGCAGGAGCACACCACCGCACUGCAGACCCAGACUGCAAAGCUGCAGGUGGAGAAUUCCACACUGAGCUCCCAGAAUGCAGCACUUGGUGCGCAGUACACAAUGCUACAGAGCCAGCAGACGGCCAAGGAGGCUGAACAUGAAAGUCUGCAGCAGCAGCAGGAGCAACUGGCAGCUGCUUAUGAGGCCCUGCUUCAGGACCAUGAGCACCUGGGUGCCCUGUACGAGCGCCAGUCCUCAGAGUAUGAGGCCCUCAUCCGACAGCACAGCUGUCUGAAGACGCUGCACCGGAACCUGGAGUUGGAGCAUAAGGAGCUUGGGGAGAGGCACGGUGACUUACAGAAGCGGAAAGCCGAGCUGGAGGAGCUGGAGAAGGUGCUGAGCACCGAGCGGGAGGCGCUGCAGCGGGAACAGAGGACCAGCGCCGUGGCCUCGAGUGAGAACCAGAGGCUGCGAGGAGAGCUGGACAGGGUCAGUUUCCUGCACCACCAGCUGAAAGGGGAGUAUGAAGAGCUGCAUGCCCACACCAAGGAGCUGAAAACAUCACUGAACAACUCCCAGCUGGAGCUGAACCGCUGGCAGGCACGCUUCGACGAGCUUAAGGAACAGCACCAGAGCAUGGACAUCUCACUGACCAAGCUGGACAACCACUGUGAGCUGCUCUCCCGUCUCAAGGGGAACUUAGAGGAGGAGAAUCAUCACCUGCUGAGCCAGAUCCAGCUGCUGAGCCAGCAGAACCAGAUGCUGCUGGAGCAGAAUAUAGAGAACAAGGAGCAGUACCACGAGGAGCAGAAGCAGUACAUAGACAAAUUAAAUGCUUUACGGAGACACAAGGAAAAACUGGAAGAAAAAAUCAUGGAUCAGUACAAGUUCUAUGACCCUGCUCCAAAGAAGAAGAACCACUGGAUCGGAGCCAAAGCCCUAGUCAAACUUAUCAAGCCAAAGAAAGAAGGCUCCAGAGAACGGUUGAAAUCCACCACCGAUAGCCCCCCCUGGCAGCUGGAGCCCUCAGACCCCGCCUCACCAUCUGCCUCCCAGAAUCUCAGAUCACAGACGGAGAACUCCGACAACCCCACAUCUGGUUUGAACUGUGCAGAAGAACGGGACACCCACAACGGGCCUGUGGGGAAAGGCCCCGGGGAUCAGAAACCAAAGCGAGGGUCCCCUCGAGCAGGCAGUGUUGACCGCACAGAUGCCUCCACCGACCCAGCUGUGAAGUCCUGGCCCUCAGAGCCUGGCUCCCGGACUUUUUCAACCUCAGCCAUCAUGGCAGCCCCUUCCAGCUCCACCCCAGUCCCCAAGCACCCAGGCCGCACCAAAGGUAGUAAUUCAGAUGACAACCUCUGUGAGUCUUCCAUGGAGCCUGAGGGCCCCUACCCCAGGCAGCCAGUGUCGAGGCCGAACAGCUUGGAGAGCAGCAGGAACACGUCCAGCAACAGCUCGCCGCUGAGCCUCAAGGGUUCCUCUGACCGUCUGCACAGCCGGUGUGAGAGCUUCAGCAGCGCAGACCUGAUCCCCAGCAGGGACCCCUCCACACUGUCUCGGGAUGCCGGCACCCCAGGACGUGGUGUUCUCAGCCGCCAUGAGUACCCUCCGCUCCGGAAUGGGCCUGUCCCCCAGGACAGUGUCCAGAAGAGGGGUGCAGCUCCAGCCCACACUGGGGGGCGGUCCCGCUCGGCCUCACCCAGCAGUGAGAUGGUCACCUUGGAGGAAUUUCUGGAGGAGAGUAACCGCGGCUCUCCGACCCACGUGAGUUCUCCGGCCCAGCAGGAGCCAGUGUUGUCGGGAGGGACAGCAGGGCUGGCUGGACUGUGUCAGGAUAUUCAGUGCCACUAGCCAAAGGAUUGCUGUGAGCUGGCCUCGGGGCCCUUAGAACCAAGCUGGCGUAGCCUGUGGCCAGCACCCACGUAGGGUUUGUGACUGAGCUCUGAGUGCUGCUUAGCCAGGGCCAUCUCCAGCAGCCAUGGGCAAGCGCGGAGGUGUAGCUAAAGUUUUCCUGCCUUGCCCACAGUCAGGACAAAUCUCUGUCACCCGCCAGUCCCACAGCUGCUCAGACCCAACCAAGUAAACACAGAGACUUAUAUUGCUUACAAACUGUAUGGCCGUGGCAGGCUUCUUGCUAACUGUUCUUAUAUCUUAAAUUAAUCCAUUUCUAUAAAUCUAUACCUUGCCACGUGGCUCGUGGCUUACCGGCAUCUUCACAUGCUCCUUGUCAUGGCAGCGGCUGGCAGUGUCUCUCCUACUCAGCCUUCCACUUCCCAGAAUUCUCCUCUCUCCUUGUCCUGCCUAUACUUCCUGCCUGGCCACUGGCCAAUCAGUGUUUUAUUUAUUAACAUACUUGCCAUACAGAACAUCCCACAGCACGGAGGGGCUCUCAAAGGGCCGCAGAGUAAACAUUUUAGACUCCUGGGCUGCAACACAAGUGGUAGUUGUGUUGCAGCCAUCUUGCCCUGCUCCUGUAGAGAAUGCAGACUUUGGCCAGGCCUGGCACAACUGCUUACACGCAGUGACGUUUGAAUUCUGUGUGGUUUUCACAUGCCGUGAUGUAACUGAGAGAGGGUGCGUGUGCGUGCAUGCAUGCAUGCAUGCAUGCGUGCAUGCAGUGCUAGGGAUUGAACCCAGGGCUUUGUGCCAUUCCUAGUUCUGCUUGGGUUCUUGUUUGCUUGUUUUUGAUAUUUUUGUUCAGUUGUUUAGAAACAUGAAAACUUACUUGGAGCUGGGCAUGGUAGUCAUCCCCUUAGAAUCCUAGCACUGAAAAGGCAGAGACAUGCAGGUCCCUGAGGCUCCUUGGCCAGCCUGCUAUGCUAAUUGGUGAGUUUCAGGCCAGAAAAAGACUGUUGUCUUUUAAAAAAAGACAAGGUGGACAACCUCAGAGGUUUUUCCUUUGGCCUCCACGUACAUGUCUGCACAUUGCAACAUUGCAUACAGGCACACACUCAUACGUGCAUUACCCACCCGUCAAAGACUUGUUUGCUCACACAUUGUGAAAAGAGGCUGCAAGGGGCUGGAGGUGUAGUUACCAGGGCAGGACCCUGGGUUCGAUCUCUAGCAAUGCAAGCGUGUGCGUGCACACACACACACACACACAUACACACACACACACACACUAGCUCAGUAGCGUCUCACCCCCAUAACCACCUGUUGAUAGAACCUCCUGUGCUCUUCAGGGCCUCAACACAUCUUAGGGCCACCUAUAGGCUAUAGUGUGCUGUCUGAAAUUUGUAAUGUGAUCUCUUGGGGUUUUUUUGACUGAAAUAUACCAUCUUGGCCUUGAGGACUGUUGAGCUAAUGCUUCGGUUUUUCCUCCUUACUCCCCUUAAAUAAAACAGAUCUCAUUCAUGUAGUAAAAUCCACGGCUUGUACUGAGAGCACAGAGGCAUGGGGUAUAGUAAAUACUUGCUCAUGAGUGUUCAUUGAGUACCUAGUGUCUAUCGGGCAGUGGGCGUGGUGCCUGCUCUCCGCAAGUAAAGCCAACCAGCUCCUCCAGAAGUUUUCCCAGCGCCUGGCUUCAUGGUCAGCACAGGAGGGAAACACGGAAUGUGGUCCUGGUCUCCUUCCUGUGCUUGUGUUCUGUCUGUCUGUGCUGGCUUCAUGGCAGCUGCUGGAGGUCCCCAGCUGAGAAGCACAGAGUACCCUGGGAAGCUGAUGUCUCCUGUUAAUGGUUUCUGGGCCCUACUGUAGGUCCAAAUUGCCUGGUAGGCUUGCCAGAACACACGCCACACUGGGGCUUCUGGCUGGGUGGGUCGGAGGCAGUGCUCAUGUCAGUGAGCAUCAUAUGAAUUGCUGACACAGUGGCAUAGUCCAGGAGUCGGGGAGAGCCUGCAGCUGGAACCUGCCUUCCUUCUUGGUCCUGGAGUGGUGUCCACAACAGUGUGUCCUCUCCCCUUGCAGGUUCUGAGAAAGGAUGAGCGCCUCUCCUCUGCUCAGACCUGUUGUCAGUGACAGAGCCUCAGACCUUACAGGCUCCCCCACCUCGUCUCAGCUGAUAAGAGGCCUUUUGUAGCCAUUUCUGUUGGAGUCUGAUGUGGGCAGCCAUAUAGCCUCCCACACCCCCCCUUGAGUGCCUAGGACAGCUCAGUUGUUUGAACUCCAGUAGAACCCUCCCCAGUAGGGUCCCCACCUAAGCCUUUGAUGCUGGGGUUGGCAGGGAGGGGCGUAUGUUGGGUUCCUGGGGUAGCCAGGAAGGCUGAUCUUCUGAACGUGGGUACUCAAGACUUAGAAAUUCACUUACACAAAGACAGAGGCCACACAUUUACUCAUGCAGAAGCUAAAAGAAGCUGAUAGAGAAGGAGUGAGUUCCAGUGGCCGGAGAGCAGGAAGAGAAGCAUUUGGAGAUUCCAAACACAGAAUGUAUGCAUGCUUUAGGGUGUUUAGGCCUGUGUAGAAGGCCACGUACCCUGACUUGAAUGGCAGUUACAAGUCAGUUCAACAGAAGACAAGAGGGGUCGGGGACAGAGGCUCAGCAGGUACAAAAUGCUCGCUGUGUAACCCUGACAACCUGAGUUCGAUUCCCGGAACCCGCACAAAAAGCUGGGUGUGUGGUGGCGUACAUUGGUAAUCCAGGGCUCCUCCAAUGAGGUGGAAGGUAGCUAGAAGAUGGGAGUUUCCACAGCUGCCUAAGGGCAGCUAGCCUCGGGCAAGCAGGGACACAGCAGGAGUGAGAGGCCCUGCCACAGCAGGUGGAAGGUGAGAGCCAGCUCCCUCACCUGCACACAGGCAGAAGUAAAUGACUGAAUGAAAACAGAAACCACACGCAGAGAGGAGGGGACUGGUGUGGAGAUGGGCCCCGGAGUCAGCCCUGGCCUAACCUCAGACCUGCCCUGCCAUCUCAGGUUCUAUGGCCUGCUCGACCUCAUUUCUUUAUCUGUCAUAAGUAGUUUUUCCACAGCUUGAACCAAACGCUGCCAAGCUGCUUUGGGAAUUGGGUGAGUGUAGACGGAGUUUUCUUUGGGCUGCCAGCUCACAAAAAAAUGACACGGAGACUUAUUAUCAGUUCUAAAAGCUUGGCCUUAGCUUAGGCUCGUUCCUAACUAGUUCUUAUAACUUAAAGUAAUCCAUAUUUUUUUUUAAUCUACAUUCUUUUAUGUGGCUCUGUUACCUUUACUCUGUACUGCCCAUCCUGUUUCCUCUCGGUCUGGCUGGCGACUCCACCCUUUCCUCUUCGCGGAGCUCUCUCUGUCCAGAAGUCCCUGCUACACUUCCUGCCUAGCUAUUUAUUGGCUGUUUAGUGUUUAUUAAACCAGUCACAGUGACACAUCUUCAUACAGUUUAAAGGAAUAUUCUACAGCAGGACACUCCCAGCUGCCGCGAUGACCUCCUGAGUGAUUACUUCCGAAAGGCCCAUGAUCCUCCCGCCACGGGAGGCCAGCCCAGACCACCAGCUAGGAAAGACGGAGCCAAGA